rnacentral:rRNA from 1 species
CCUACGGGCGGCAGCAGUGAGGAAUAUUGGUCAAUGGACGAGAGUCUGAACCAGCCAAGUAGCGUGAAGGAUGACUGCCCUAUGGGUUGUAAACUUCUUUUAUAUGGGAAUAAAACGUUCCACGUGUGGGAUUUUGUAUGUACCAUAUGAAUAAGGAUCGGCUAACUCCGUGCCAGCAGCCGCGGUAAUACGGAGGAUCCGAGCGUUAUCCGGAUUUAUUGGGUUUAAAGGGAGCGUAGGUGGAUUGUUAAGUCAGUUGUGAAAGUUUGCGGCUCAACCGUAAAUUUGCAGUUGAAACUGGCAGUCUUGAGUACAGUAGAGGUGGGCGGAAUUCGUGGUGUAGCGGUGAAAUGCUUAGAUAUCACGAAGAACUCCGAUUGCGAAGGCAGUUCACUGGACUGCAACUGACACUGAGGCUCGAAAGUGUGGGUAUCAAACAGGAUUAGAUACCCUGGUAGUC